UACAGAGGGUGCAAGCGUUAAUCGGAGUUACUGGGCGUAAAGGGCUCGUAGGUGGCCAACUAAGUCAGACGUGAAAUCCCUCGGCUUAACCGGGGAACUGCGUCUGAUACUGGAUGGCUAGAGUUUGGGAGAGGGAUGCGGAAUUCCAGGUGUAGCGGUGAAAUGCGUAGAUAUCUGGAGGAACACCGGUGGCGAAGGCGGCAUCCUGGACCAACACUGACGCUGAGGAGCGAAAGCCAGGGGAGCAAACAGG
rnacentral:rRNA from 1 species